GACGAACGGCUGGCGGCGUGCCUAACACAUGCAAGUCGAACGGAGAUAUGAUUUCGGUUAUAUCUUAGUGGCGAACGGGUGAGUAACGCGUGAGCAACCUGACCUUCAGAGGGGGAUAACACCUGGAAACAAGUGCUAAUACCGCAUAAGACCACGACAUGACAUCAUGACGAGGUCAAAGGAGCAAUCCGCUGAGGGAGGGGCUCGCGUCCCAUUAGAUAGAUGGCGGGGUAACGGCCCACCAUGUCGACGAUGGGUAGCCGAGCUGAGAGGCUGAUCGGCCACACUGGAACUGAGACACGGUCCAGACUCCUACGGGAGGCAGCAGUGGGGAAUAUUGGGCAAUGGGCGCAAGCCUGACCCAGCAACGCCGCGUGAGGGAAGAAGGCUUUCGGGUUGUAAACCUCUGUCCUUGGUGACGAAAAAAAUGACGGUAGCCAAGGAGGAAGCCCCGGCUAACUACGUG
rnacentral:rRNA from 1 species